rnacentral:rRNA from 1 species
GGUUACCGUGGACACGUUCUACGAGAGUACGUUUGACUCCGUGGCACGAGGACGACGCUGGCGGCGUGCUUAACACAUGCAAGUCGAACGGAAGGCCUAGCUUGCUGGGUACUCGAGUGGCGAACGGGUGAGUAACACGUGGGUGAUCUGCCCUGAACUCUGGGAUAAGCCUGGGAAACUGGGUCUAAUACCGGAUAUGACCUUACAUCGCAUGGUGUUUGGUGGAAAGCUUUUGCGGUUCAGGAUGGGCCCGCGGCCUAUCAGCUUGUUGGUCGGGGUAAUGGCCUACCAAGGCGACGACGGGUAGCCGACCUGAGAGGGUGAUCGGCCACACUGGGACUGAGACACGGCCCAGACUCCUACGGGAGGCAGCAGUGGGGAAUAUUGCACAAUCGGGCGCAAGCCUGAUGCAGCGACGCCGCGUGAGGGAUGACGGCCUUCGGGUUGUAAACCUCUUUCACCAGGGACGAAGCGUGAGUGACGGUACCUGGAGAAGAAGCACCGGCCAACUACGUG